GCUGUCACUAUUGUCAUUGACAACCUGGUUGAACGGUAGAAGAAAGCACAGAGAAUUUUAUUAUAUAAUGUUCAUGGCUGAAAAUGCAACAGACAAAGCACUCAACUUGGACUCCUACAAUAAUUAAAAGGACUUUUUAGCAUCUGAGCAUCUGAAGUCCUUUGCUGGUGGGGGUGUGCAUUAAUCAAUUUUAAUUGAAAAUUGAACUGAAUUGAUUUAAUUCUCUUUUUUUUGGGUCAAUUUUGGUUUUGAUUUUUUGGUUCAAUUAAUUUAAUUAAAAAAAAUUACUGAAUCAAACAGAUUUUACAUGUAAAACUGUAUAGUUUUCAAAAUCCAUGUGUAGAACCCAACAUUUCUUAGUCAAUCACGAUUUCACUAGGCCACUGCCAUUCUCUGACUCGUUCGUCCUCUCACCUAUGGCUUCCCCUCAAUUCUUCCUCGCUCAGUUCUCCCUCACUCUUUACUCUUACUCUCAAUUUCCUCAAUCUCAGACCACAAACUCCAUUUUUUCUGCUCUAAUUCUAAAAUUCUCUCAAUCUCAGACUACAGACCCCACAUCUACAUCAUCUACUGGCUGCAUGUAUAUCCCGAUUACCAUCCCUCGUCUCACACUGAUACUGCUGUGCUCUUUGGAUUCAUUGAUGUUGCUCUCUCUCUCAGUCAAUUUUGGGUUUAUGAUAUGGGUCUUACAGGAUCGCCUCAACACCAUCACUCAUGCAUUGCCUCACUUCGACGCGCUCAGCGCUAUGAAUCUGGGUUUUACUUUACCAGUACUAUCAGUCGCCUCGACUCUCACUCAAAUCUGAUUCUCUGUUCUAUUUUUUCUCAUUUUCUCUUUUCAGUUUUCAAUUGGGUUUUGUGUUUGCAUUGUUGGAUUGUUGGGAAGAAUUGAUGGUUGUAUUUUUUAUUGUUGGCCGCUGCGCUCCGUUUCAAUGUUUUGAUUGCUUGAAAUCAAUGAACACAAUGGGUGCUGUGCGUUUGACGGCUGAGAUUUGAAGAACCAAUGGACUGAACCGAAAUAUUUUGGUUUGGUUCGAUUCAAUUAGCCUAUCGAAUCAGUUCAAUUGCUGAUAAUAUGUAAUUCAGUUUUUCUGAUUUGCUUCGGUUCAGAACCGAACCAACCAGUUGUACACCCCUAUUUGUGGGCAAAAGGAUAUAUUUAUGGGUUUUGUAAUAAGCAAUCUUGCCAAAACCCAUGUUGCUAAAGGAGGGAAGGUAUGCAGCACGUAGGGAGUUCCAAAUUUCAAGACUUAAAUGUAAAGUUGAUGUUUCAAAAUUGGCAAACUACACAAUUUGUUUACCAAUUGUAUUUUGUAGAACCAAAUGGAUCCUAUAAUAAUAUUUAUAGGCCAUAAAAGAGGAAAGAGACAAAUCCAAAAAAAAGCAGGCACUUAUAUACUCGACAUAAGAACACAUACCCAUUUCUAUUGAAAACAUUAAAGCAUAAUAACGCCAAUUGGAUCCAAAAAAUCCAAAUAUUUAUACUAAUUUGUGAUUUUAUUCAAAGGUUUCAAUUUUAGAUCAAUUGAUCAAACAUUUCAAUUUUAAAGAAAUUUUAGCCAAAAUUGAAGAUAGAAUUUGAUCUUACUUUAGAAUUUUGUAAAACAAAAUCCAAGGGUGUUUUGCAAAGCAUUCAUGAAUACACGGCCCAAGUGUGAUAUUGUCAAUUGAUCAAUUGAUUUUUAAGUUUGGCUAAAAUUUCUUUGAAUUUUAAAGUUUGGGUCAAUUGAUCCAAAAUUGAACAUUUGAAUAAAAUCAUCAAUAAAUUCAAAAGUUUGGAUUUUUUGGUCCAAUUGGCAAAAUAAUAAUAUUAGUAGUAAUUGGAAAAAAUCUAGGGAGCUUAAUUUUACUUGAAUAUAAUUGUUGACGUGC
rnacentral:misc_RNA from 1 species